UCUGCAGUUUCCUCACCUCUGUCAGCCUUUACAGAAUUGAAGAGUUAAGGCCUUGUUCUAGGUUAGAUUUUGGUUUAAAGGACUAUUGUUGCUGUUUUAAUCUUCUAUCCAGACCACUCAAACUUUCUCCCUUAAUGGCAAUAAGGCUAUUUUGCUUUUUUAUUAUUUGUGUUCACUGUAGGUUCACUUUUAAUUUCCCUCAAUAACUUUUGCCUUCACAACUUGGCUAAGCAUUUCAUGCAAGAGGCCUAGUUUUUGGCCAAUCUUGGCUAUCAACAUAACAUCCUCACUAAGCUAAAUCACGUCUAACUUUUGAUUUAAAGUGAGAGAUGUGUGACUCUUCCUUUCACCUGAACACUUACAUGCCAUUUUAAGGUUAUUAAUUGGCCUAAUUUCAAUAUUGUGUCUCAGGCAAUAGGGAGGCCCAAGGAGAGAGAGAGACAUGGGGAAACAGCCAGUCUGUGGAGCGUCAGAACGUACGUCGACGUCGCACUGACAGAUUAAGUUUGUCGUCUUAUUUCUGGAGGCCAGAAGUCUGCAAUCAAGGUGUUGCUGGGGUUGGUUUCUUCCGAGGCUUCUCCUGGGCUUGAAACCUCCAUGCUGCCAGAGGCACCAUGAGGACUGCUGGCAUCAGAGGACACCCCUCGCUGGGAGCAGAGGACCUUGUGGAUCAGUCGGAAGUGAAAGGAAAACCAUGUCUCUGAGUGACUGAGGCCUGGAACAAGUGGAGCUCAAACUGAUACAGGAGUAUACGUAGCAUCUCUUAGAAAUAUGCAGAAAUAUUUAGGGAGGUGGGGUUUUUAUGAGAGUCUAAAUUUUCUGUAUGAAUACAUAAGACUUGGUGGCAAGUGGGAUUCAAGAAUAAAUGUUAGUGUUGCUAAGACUUGGGGACACGAGUUCCACAAGAUACCAAACAGGAGAAUGUAAAUACAC